GAGUUUGAUCCUGGCUCAGGAUGAACGCUAGCGGCAGGCCUAACACAUGCAAGUCGAACGGUAACAGAGAAGAGCUUGCUCUUUUGCUGACGAGUGGCGCACGGGUGCGUAACGCGUAUACAAUCUACCUUUUACAGGGGUAUAGCCUUUAGAAAUGAAGAUUAACACCCCAUAGUAAGUAUUUAUGGCAUCAUAGAAACUUUAAAACUUCGGUGGUAAAAGAUGAGUAUGCGUUCUAUUAGCUAGAUGGUGUGGUAACGGCACACCAUGGCAACGAUAGAUAGGGGCCCUGAGAGGGGGAUCCCCCACACUGGUACUGAGACACGGACCAGACUCCUACGGGAGGCAGCAGUGAGGAAUAUUGGACAAUGGGCGAGAGCCUGAUCCAGCCAUGCCGCGUGCAGGAAGACGGCCCUAUGGGUUGUAAACUGCUUUUAUAUAGGAAGAAACUUAUCCACGUGUGGAUAACUGACGGUACUAUAAGAAUAAGCACCGGCUAACUCCGUGCCAGCAGCCGCGGUAAUACGGAGGGUGCAAGCGUUAUCCGGAAUCAUUGGGUUUAAAGGGUCCGUAGGCGGGCAAUUAAGUCAGAGGUGAAAUCCCACAGCUCAACUGUGGAACUGCCUUUGAUACUGGUUGUCUUGAGUUAUAGUGAAGUAGAUAGAAUAUGUAGUGUAGCGGUGAAAUGCUUAGAGAUUACAUAGAAUACCGAUUGCGAAGGCAGUCUACUAACUAUAUACUGACGCUAAUGGACGAAAGCGUGGGGAGCGAACAGGAUU
rnacentral:rRNA from 1 species